AGGACGAACGCUGGCGGCGUGCUUAACACAUGCAAGUCGAACGGGGAUAGCGACGGAAGUCCUUCGGGGUGGAAGAUGCUAUUCGAGUGGCGGACGGGUGAGUAACGCGUGAACAAUCUGUCCCAGACAGGGGGAUAACACUUGGAAACAGGUGCUAAUACCGCAUGAGACCACAGCGUCACAUGGCGCAGGGGUAAAAGGAGCGAUCCGGUUUGGGGUGAGUUCGCGUCCGAUUAGCCAGUUGGCGGGGUAACGGCCCACCAAAGCGACGAUCGGUAGCCGAUCUGAGAGGAUGACCGGCCACAUUGGAACUGAGAGACGGUCCAAACUCCUACGGGAGGCAGCAGUGGGGAAUAUUGGGCAAUGGGCGAAAGCCCUGACCCAGCAACGCCGCGUGAGUGAAGAAGGCCUUCGGGUUGUAAAGCUCUGUUAUAGGGGACGAAGGAAGUGACGGUACCCUAUAAGGAAGCCCCGGCUAACUACGUGCCAGCAGCCGC
rnacentral:rRNA from 1 species